rnacentral:rRNA from 1 species
CCUACGGGAGGCAGCAGUGGGGGAUAUUGGACAAUGGGGUGAACCCUGAUCCAGCGACGCCGCGUGAGUGAAGACGUCUUUCUGUAUGUAAAGCUCUGUCAGCAGGGAAGAAAGCCCUGACGGUACCUGACCAACAAGCCCCGGCUAACUACGUGCCAGCAGCCGCGGUAAUACGUAGGGGGCAAGCGGUAUCCGGAAUUACUGGGUGUAAAGGGAGCGUAGACGGCUGUGCCAGUCUGGGGGGAAAGGCGGGGGCCCAACCCCCGGACUGCUCUGGAAACUGUAUGGCUGGAGUGCAGGAGAGGUAAGCGGAAUUCCUAGUGUAGCGGUGAAAUGCGUAGAUAUCAGGCGGAACACCAGUGGCGAAGGCGGCUUACUGGACUGUAACUGACGUUGAGGCUCGAAAGCGUGGGGAGCAAACAGGAUUAGAUACCCUGGUAGUC